rnacentral:rRNA from 1 species
UACGAAGGGGGAGCUAGCGUUGUCCGGAAUUAUUGGGCGUAAAGCGCGCGCAGGCGGUCCUUUAAGUCUGAUGUGAAAGCCCACGGCUCAACCGUGGAGGGUCAUUGGAAACUGGGGGACUUGAGUGCAGAAGAGGAGAGUGGAAUUCCACGUGUAGCGGUGAAAUGCGUAGAGAUGUGGAGGAACACCAGUGGCGAAGGCGACUCUCUGGUCUGUAACUGACGCUGAGGCGCGAAAGCGUGGGGAGCAAACAGGA